rnacentral:rRNA from 1 species
UACAGAGGUGGCAAGCGUUGUUCGGAAUUACUGGGCGUAAAGGGCGCGUAGGCGGCCUUCUAAGUCAGACGUGAAAUCCCCCGGCUUAACCUGGGAACUGCGUCUGAUACUGGAAGGCUUGAGUGCGGGAGAGGGAUGUGGAAUUCCAGGUGUAGCGGUGAAAUGCGUAGAUAUCUGGAGGAACACCGGUGGCGAAGGCGGCAUCCUGGACCGGUAUUGACGCUGAGGCGCGAAAGCUAGGGUAGCAAACGGG